GAUUGAUGUGCUUUCGGCUGAGGCUUUGGCUUUGGAGGAGGGUUGGCAUUCUCCAGGUCAUCCGCCAGUUCAAGCAGGUGCCAGGCUAUCUGCACCCAAAUGAAACCUCUCUCCUCCACUAACUU